CUUAGAAGCAGCCACUCAUUUAAAGAGUGCGUAAUAGCUCACUGGUCGAGUGAUUCUGCGCCGAAAAUUUCCGGGGCUAAAACUUACUACCGAAGCUACGGCAUCAUUAUGAUGGGUAGGGGAGCUUUCUAUGUGGCUUGAAGCAUGACCGUAAGGACAUGUGGACUGCAUAGAAGUGAGAAUGUUGGCAUGAGUAGCGAGAUGUGGGUGAGAAUCCCACAGGCCGUAAACCCAAGGUUUCCAGGGGAAGGUUCGUCCGCCCUGGGUUAGUCAGGACCUAAGCCGAGGCCGAAAGGCGUAGGUGAUGGACAACAGGUUGAUAUUCCUGUACCACCAAUAACCGUUUGAGAAAUGGGAUGACACAGUAGGAUAAGCUAACCGCACUGUUGGUUAUGUGCGGGCAAGUAUUGAGGCAGUUCCGAUAGGCAAAUCCGUCGGAAUAAUGCUGGGGUACGAUGCGGAGCGAAAUUUAGUAGCGAAGUAGCUGAUUUCACACUGUCGAGAAAAGUCUCUAUCGAGGUUAAAGGUGCCUGUACCGCAAACCGACACAGGUGGGUGAGGAGAGUAUCCUAAGGCCAGCGAGAGAACUGUUGUUAAGGAACUCGGCAAAAUGACCCCGUAACUUAGGGAGAAGGGGUGCCUUCGAAAGAAGGCCGCAGAGAAUAGGCCCAAGCGACUGUUUACCAAAAACAUAGGUUUCUGCUAAGUCGCAAGACGAUGUAUAGGAGCUGACGCCUGCCCGGUGCUGGAAGGUUAAGGGGAUCUGUUAGAGCAAUCGAAGCAGUGAACUUAAGCCCCAGUAAACGGCGGCCGUAACUAUAACGGUCCUAAGGUAGCGAAAUUCCUUGUCGGGUAAGUUCCGACCCGCACGAAAGGCGUAACGAUUUGGGCACUGUCUCAACAACAGACUCGGUGAAAUUGUAAUACCGGUGAAGAUGCCGGUUACCUGCGACAGGACGGAAAGACCCCAUGGAGCUUUACUGUAGCUUGACAUUGAGUCUCGGUGCUACAUGUACAGGAUAGGUGGGAGACUAUGAAGCAUGGACGUCAGUCUGUGUGGAGUCAUCCUUGGGAUACCACCCUUGUAGUACUGGGAUUCUAACCAGAGGCCAUGAAUCUGGUCUUGGGACACUGUCAGGUGGACAGUUUGACUGGGGCGGUCGCCUCCCAAAAAGUAACGGAGGCGCUCAAAGGUUCUCUCAGUACGGUCGGAAAUCGUACGAAGAGUGUAAAGGCAAAAGAGAGCUUGAUUGCAAGACAUACAGGUCGAGCAAGGACGAAAGUCGGACUUAGUGAUCCGGUGGUUCCGCAUGGAAGGGCCAUCGCUCAACGGAUAAAAGCUACCCUGGGGAUAACAGGCUGAUCUCCCCCAA
rnacentral:rRNA from 1 species